rnacentral:rRNA from 1 species
UGAGGAAUAUUGCACAAUGGGCGAAAGCCUGAUGCAGCAACGCCGCGUGAGGGACGAAGGCCUUCGGGUCGUAAACCUCUUUUCUGGGGAAAGAGCAAGGACGGUACCUCAGGAACAAGUCUCGGCUAACUACGUGCCAGCAGCCGCGGUAAAACGUAGGAGGCGAGCGUUAUCCGGAUUUACUGGGCGUAAAGCGCACGCAGGCGGCUUCGUUAGUCGGAUGUGAAAGCUCCUGGCUUAACUAGGAGAGGCCAUUCGAUACUGCGAGGCUUGAGGCAGGGAGAGGGGUGCGGAAUUCCCGGUGUAGUGGUGGAAUGCGUAGAUAUCGGGAGGAACACCUGUGGCGAAAGCGGCACCCUGGCCCUCGCCUGACGCUGAGGUGCGAAAGCGUGGGGAGUAAACAG